UACGGAGGGUGCGAGCGUUGUCCGGAAUCACUGGGCGUAAAGGGCGCGUAGGCGGCGCGGGGAGUCAACGGUGAAAGCUCGGCGCUCAACGCCGAGUCGGCCGUCGAUACUCCCGUGCUUGAGCACUGUAGAGGCAGGUGGAAUUCCGGGUGUAGCGGUGGAAUGCGUAGAGAUCCGGAAGAACACCGGUGGCGAAGGCAGUCUGCUGGGCAGUUGCUGACACUGAGGCGCGACAGCGUGGGGAGCAAACAGG
rnacentral:rRNA from 1 species